rnacentral:rRNA from 1 species
CGGCCGCCUGGCCGCGGGAUUGAGUUUGAUCCUGGCUCGGAUUACGCUGGCGGCGUGCAUGAGACAUGCAAGUCGAACGGACACUCAGGGCUUGCUCUGAGUGUUAGUGGCGGACGGCUGAGUAACGCGUAGGUGACCUGCCCCGAAGUGGGGAAUAACUGCCCGAAAGGGUGGCUAAUACCGCAUGUGGUGAUGCGUUCAUUCGCAUCAGUAAAGCCGCAAGGCGCUUCGGGAGGGGCCUGCGUCCGAUUAGCUCGUUGGUGAGGUAACGGCUCACCAAGGCGACGAUCGGUAGGUGGUCUGAGAGGACGAUCACCCAGACUGGGACUGAGACACGGCCCAGACUCCUACGGGAGGCAGCAGUCGGGAAUUUUGCGCAAUGGGCGAAAGCCUGACGCAGCAACGCCGCGUGAGGGAUGACGGCCUUCGGGUUGUAAACCUCUUUUGUCAGGGAAGAUAAUGACGGUACCUGGCGAAUAAGCCACGGCUAACUACGUGCCAGCAGCCGCGGUAAUACGUAGGUGGCAAGCGUUGUCCGGAUUUACUGGGCGUAAAGAGCGCGCAGGCGGUCGAUUUAGUCGUGUGUGAAAGCCCCCGGCUCAACUGGGGAGGGUCACGCGAUACUGAUCGACUCGAAGGCAGGAGAGGGUAGUGGAAUUCCCGGUGUAGUGGUGAAAUGCGUAGAUAUCGGGAGGAACACCAGUGGCGAAGGCGACUACCUGGCCUGUUCUUGACGCUGAGGCGCGAAAGCUAGGGGAGCAAACGGGAUUAGAUACCCCGGUAGUCCUAGCCGUAAACGAUGGACACUAGGUGUUGGUGGUAUCAACCCCGCCAGUGCCGAAGCUAACGCAUUAAGUGUCCCGCCUGGGGAGUACGGCCGCAAGGCUAAAAC